GGAAAAAGUCCUGACACUGAAGAGCUAACUGAGGAAGGUCAAGGAGAAAAAAAGCCUGACACUGAAGAGCUAAGUGAGGAAGCCAGGGAAUCUGAAGAGAAAGUGGAAAGUGAAGACACUCCUGACACUGAAGAGCUAACUGAGGAAGGUAAAAACUUU